rnacentral:rRNA from 1 species
UACGUAGGGUGCGAGCGUUGUCCGGAUUUACUGGGCGUAAAGAGCGCGCAGGCGGUCGUUCAAGUCGAGUGUGAAAGCCCCCGGCUCAACUGGGGAGGGUCAUUCGAUACUGAUCGACUCGAAGGCAGGAGAGGGAAGUGGAAUUCCCGGUGUAGUGGUGAAAUGCGCAGAUAUCAGGAGGAACACCAAUUGCGAAGGCAGCUCGCUGGGACGUAACUGACGCUGAGACGCGAAAGCGUGGGGAGCAAACAGG